rnacentral:rRNA from 1 species
GCUCAGAUUGAACGCUGGCGCAUUCGCCUAAAGUCGAACGGUAGCAGGAAGAAGCUUGCUUCUUUGUACACAGCAGUGGCGGACGGGUGAGAAUAUCUGGGAAACUGCCUGAUGGAGGGGAUAACUACUGGAAACGGUAGCUGUACCGCAUAACAAGACCCGCAAGAGAAGUGGGCCUCGCGGGGCGAAUGGAUGCCCAGAUGGGAUGUAGCCAGUAGGUGGGCCACCGGCUCACCAGAAGGCGCGACGAUCCUGGUCUGAGAUGACCGUUCAGCCACUGGAACUGAACGGUCCAGACUCCUGGGAGGCAGUGGGGAAUAUUGCCAAUGGGCGCGCCUGAUGCAGCCAUGCGGCGAAGAAGGCCUUCGGGUUUAUAAAGUACUUUCAGCGGGGAGGAAGGAGUAAAGUUAAUACCUUGUCGCCGACGUUACCCGGAGAAGCACGGCUAACUCCGUGCCAGCAGCACCGCGGCAUACGGAGGUGCAAGCGUUAAUCGGAAUUACUGGGCGUAAAGCGCACGCAGGCGGUUUGUUAAGUCAGAUGUGAAAUCCCGGGCUCAACCUGGGAACUGCAUCGAUACUGCAAGUUUGAGUCCCGUAGAGGGGUAGAAUUCAGGAGUAGCGGUGAAAUGCGUAGAGAUCUGGAGGAAUACCGGUGGCGAAGGCGGCCCCUGGACGAAGACUGACGCUCAGGUGCGAAAGCGUGGGGAGCAAACAGGAUUGAUACCCUGGUAGUCCACGCCGUAAACGAUGUCGACUUGAGGUUGUGCCCUUGAGGCGUGGCUUCCGGAGCUAACGCGUUAAGUCGACCGCCUGGGAGUGGCCGCAAGGUUAAACUCAAAUGAAUUGACGGGCCCGCACAGCGCGGUGGAGCAUGUGGUUGACCUGAUGCAACGCGAAGAACCUUACCUGGUCUUGACAUCCACAGAACUUUCCAGAGAUGGAUUGGUGCCUUCGGAACUGUGGACAGGUGCUGCAUGGCUGUCGUCAGCUCGUGUUGUGAAAUGGUUAAGUCCCGCAACGAGCGCAACCCUUAUCUUUUGUUGCCAGCGGUCCGGCCGGAACUCAAAGGAGACUGCCAGUGAUAAACUGGAGGAAUUGGGGAUGACGUCAAGUCAUCAUGGCCCUUACGACCAGGGCUACACGUGCCACAAUGGCGCAUACAAAAGAAGCGACCUCGCGAGAGCAAGCGGACCUCAUAAAGUGCGUCGUAGUCCGGAUUGAGUCUGCAACUCGACUCCAGUGAAGUCGGAAUCGCUAGUAAUCGUGGAUCAGAAUGCCACGGUGAAUACGUUCCCGGGCCUUGCCACACCGCCCGUCACACCAGGGAGUGGGUUGCAAAAGAAGUAGGUAGCUUAACCUUCGGGAGGGCGCUUACCACUUUGUGAUUCAUGACUGGGGUGAAUCAGGUCGGGUAACGUAGG